CAUUUAAUUUAAUAAUUUAAUUAGAAAUUUGGAUUGAUUAGAAAUUCGUCUUUCCAAAUAUUCUAUUCAAUUUUCAAUAUAAAAUCUAUACAAAAAUAUGAUUGAAAAUUGAUGACUCUAUCCUUGAGGGUUAAUAAAGAAAGGUAUCAUACUCGUAACUCAUGAAAAGGAAUAUCAGUGCAAAUAGCUAUAAUUAUACUUGCGUAUGAAAGGAAGUAUCAAGGAUUGAAUUGGCAAAUAACUGUUGGCGUUGGAUCAAGAAGUUUUUUAAGCAAACACAAGGAAAGAAGUUUUUGCGCAAGAAAGGAAAGAGGAAGGAUAUGCUAGAGGUUAACGUCUUUCCUUCGUUCAGAACGACAAUAUGACUAAUAAGAAUGAGUACAUCACUGAUACGUGUUGUCACUUCUACUAAAAAUUUUGCAGCAGUACUGCAGUAUUUUUACCCUUGACAACUUGUCGUGUAAUCGCGCUAAACGUUCGUGCGCGGACGACGUGAAAUCAUUACACUACUCUAAACCUUAUGCGAACUUCAUACUAUUGAAAAUUUUUAUUUUAUUGUUUAUAUCAAUGAUUUACAAAUAAGGUUUUUUAAUGAAUCGCAAAGAUGUAAUUCAUUUAAUCCACAUUUUUUAUUUUUUAACAUUCCAAAUGAGAAAUAUUGAUUUCGUAUGCAACAUAUUUUUGUGUAUGUGUGAACAAAAUCAUCCAAAUAUAUUUCCUUAAUUUAUUAAACUUCUUAUUUUUCCAUUUCUUAUAAAUUUCUUAUAUAUCUCGUAAAAGUACACGAUAGUGAUUAAACAUGAUAUUUAUAAAUUAUAACUGUUAAUAUUUGAUUUAAAACGGUACAUACUUCAUUUAUGAAUCCCUAACUAUUAUUAAGUAAGUGCUGCCAUCUAUCGAGUGAAGAUUCGAAGGUAUUUGUCAGAUCAAAAUCGCUCUUAUGACAAAUACUAAUUGACAAAGUUGCUAAUUGCGUUUUACACUUAUAUCAAAAUGAUUGUACACACAAAUUCUAAUAUCUUAAAUGUAUAUUAUUCUCAUAAAAGCUAUUUAUUCACA
rnacentral:lncRNA from 1 species